AAAGAGGAAAACAGCUGCUCUUCCCUGGCUGUGACCAGCUGGAACAUCCCAGCAGCAUCCUGCAUCCCAGUAAAAUCUGCCACAACAACAGAUCAGCAAGGGAGGGACACCAUUCCUGAGGGAAAACUCUACACGUGAAGCAAAACAGAGGGGAAAAGGAAGGAAAAGGAGAAAAAAGGAAGGAAGAAGGAAGCUCCUGGUUCUUGCUGUGCUGAGGGGGCUGCAUCCCAGGGAUGCUCUGGGCAUCCAGAGCCUGGCAUGUCGGGGGCUCAGCCCAAGGAGGAAGGUGCAGCUGAAGUCAGCGGUGCUCAGAUGCGUUGUGUCAUUUCCCAGCUUUAAUAGGCGGAAGCGAAACGAGGGGAAAUUUAUACAACGCAGUCGGUGACUCCGGUUCUUCCCUGAACAAUGCCUUGUGCCCAGGAGAUGGCAUUCACGGGAUUCCUGCGGAAGAGGCUGCAAAGGACAUUGUUUGGAGUUUUCCUUGCAGGAGACAUGAAGGUGGAUGAAAAAGCCAAGCCCUCGUGGCACCAGUGCCCAGCACUCCCUGCAGGAGGUGGAAUGAGCUGCCCAUCCCAUGGGAAUAUGGAGGGAGCGGCUCUGGAGCCGUCCAGGCUGUUCUUGCUGGCUGAUGGAAUUUUUUAGACUAAAUAAAGUUUUCCUGCUCU